rnacentral:rRNA from 1 species
UACGGAGGAUCCAAGUGUUAUCCGGAAUUACUGGGCGUAAAGAGUUGCGUAGGUGGCAAAGUAAGUUGGUAGUGAAAUCGUGUGGCUCAACCAUGCUCACAUUACCAAAACUGCUUAGCUAGAGGAUGAGAGAGGUCGUUGGAAUUCCCAGUGUAGGAGUGAAAUCCGUAGAUAUUGGGAGGAACACCGAUGGCGUAGGCAGACGACUGGCUCAUUCCUGACACUAAGGCACGAAAGCGUGGGUAGCAAACGGG